UACAGAGGGUGCAAGCGUUAUCCGGAUUCACUGGGUUUAAAGGGUGCGUAGGUGGGCUUGUAAGUCAGUGGUGAAAUCUCCGAGCUUAACUUGGAAACUGCCAUUGAUACUAUAAGUCUUGAAUAUUGUGGAGGUCAGCGGAAUAUGUCAUGUAGCGGUGAAAUGCUUAGAUAUGACAUAGAACACCAAUUGCGAAGGCAGCUGGCUACGCAUAUAUUGACACUGAGGCACGAAAGCGUGGGGAUCAAAACAGG
rnacentral:rRNA from 1 species